rnacentral:rRNA from 1 species
UAGAGGAAGUAAAAGUCGUAACAAGGUCUCCGUAGGUGAACCUGCGGAGGGAUCAUUACAGAGUUCUUGCCCAGCAGGGUAGAUCUCCCACCCUAUGUUAAUAUACGUUUGUUGCUUUGGCAAGCCUGAUAGGCCUCGGUCUAACCACCGGCUUUUGCUGGUGAGCGCUUGCCAGAGAACCCCAAAACUCUGAAUGUUAGUAUUGUCUAAGCACUAUAUAAAUAGUUAAAACUUUCAACAACGGAUCUCUUGGUUCUGGCAUCGAUGAAGAACGCAGCGAAAUGCGAUAAGUAAUGUGAAUUGCAGAAUUCAGUGAAUCAUCGAAUCUUUGAACGCACAUUGCGCUCCUUGGUAUUCCGAGGAGCAUGCCUGUUCGAGCGUCAUUACAACCCUCAAGCUAUGCUUGGUAUUGGGCCUCAUCGGGAACGAUGUGCCUUAAAGAGAGUGGCGGCACUGCUUGGCUCUAAGCGUAGUAAACUUCUCGCUAUAGACGCUCGGGAGCUGCCUGCCAUAACCCCAAAAUUUCUUAGGUUGACCUCGGAUCAGGUAGGGAUACCCGCUGAACUUAAGCAUAUCAAUAA